UACGGGGGAGCAAGCGUUGUUCGGAUUUACUGGGCGUAAAGGGCGCGUAGGCGGCCAGCACAAGUCAGUUGUGAAAUCUCCGAGCUUAACUCGGAAAGGUCAACUGAUACUGUGCGGCUAGAGUGCGGAAGGGCAACUGGAAUUCUUGGUGUAGCGGUGAAAUGCGUAGAUAUCAAGAGGAACACCUGGCGGCGAAGGCGGGUUGCUGGGCCGACACGUGACGCUGGAUGUGCGAAAGCGUGGGAGCAACAGG
rnacentral:rRNA from 1 species